rnacentral:rRNA from 1 species
UACGGGGGGGGCAAGCGUUGUUCGGAAUUACUGGGCGUAAAGGGCGCGUAGGCGGCCUUCUAAGUCGGACGUGAAAUCCCUCGGCUUAACCGAGGAACUGCGUCCGAUACUGAAAGGCUUGAAUCCGGGAGAGGGAUGUGGAAUUCCAGGUGUAGCGGUGAAAUGCGUAGAUAUCGAGAGGAACACCUGCGGCGAAGGCGGGUAGCUGGGCCGACACUGACGCUGAGGCGCGAAAGCCAGGGGAGCGAACGGG